rnacentral:rRNA from 1 species
UGAGGAAUAUUGGACAAUGGGCGCAAGCCUGAUCCAGCCAUGCCGCGUGCAGGAUGAAGGCCUUCGGGUUGUAAACUGCUUUUGUACGGAACGAAAAGACUCCUUCUAAUAAAGGGGGUCCAUGACGGUACCGUAAGAAUAAGCACCGGCUAACUACGUGCCAGCAGCCGCGGUAAUACGUAGGGUGCGAGCGUUAAUCGGAAUUACUGGGCGUAAAGCGUGCGCAGGCGGUUAUAUAAGACAGAUGUGAAAUCCCCGGGCUCAACCUGGGAACUGCAUUUGUGACUGUAUAGCUAGAGUACGGCAGAGGGGGAUGGAAUUCCACGUGUAGCAGUGAAAUGCGUAGAUAUGCGGAGGAACACCGAUGGCGAAGGCAAUCCCCUGGGCCUGUACUGACGCUCAUGCACGAAAGCGUGGGGAGCAAACA